AGGGGAGGCAGGACGGAGGCAGAAGGCGGAAGUAAACCAAGAGCGGUGGCUAAACAAGAAUUACUGUACUUGAAGAGGACAACAUGCUAACCCAGAGACUUCUUUGACAAAUGUGGCCAUGGACAGACAGGCUGGUCGACUUUCACAACCCUUCAUGAGGAUUGUGAUUGAAUAUUCAUCCAAAUAGGAUUAUGUGAGCGUCCUGUUGGUCGGCAUCCCAGCGAGAGUGGAAAUAUUACAUACGUCCGAGGAGGAACCUUCUAUCUGAACAGCAUGAGUUCUACUUGUGAGGUAAUUUGCAAACCAUCCAACUGCUUGCUGAGAAAAACCAGUAGCUGAAAGACGUUUGAUUAAAAUGACAUGAUCAAAAGUAUCAAAUGCCUUUGAAAAGUCAAU